rnacentral:lncRNA from 7 species
UAAAUAUGGCGCCGGAAUUCGCUUGCGUGCUCCGACUAAAUGCGGCAAUCACCGGAUGAAUCAAUGGAAUCGAAGAACAUCUGUACUCUGGGUAUAAGAGGAACCAACGCUGGAAUCGGCACUGGGGAUAAAUAACGGCAAACAGGAGCACCGGCGAAGUGUGAUUGGCGAGCGGCAAUCAAGCGGCAAACAGGAGCACCGGUGAUGUGCUUGAGACGGGGAAGGAAAUCCUUGGGCUGCAAGCCUGCAACAAUGCAAUAGGCGAAGAAAACCCACAAAAUGUCGAAGUUGCUAGUGGACUCUAUCGCAAAAA